AUGGUUUACUGUUGUCUGCAUGUGAAUUUUGUACAAUAAAUACUGGAUCAACUGAGUGUUUUUAAAAAUAUUUGUCAUUUACUUUUUUUUUUUUUUUGCUAGCAUAGUGCACAGUAGCUGAAACCAACUUCACACAAGGCGGGAGCUGCAUAUGCAAAACAUGCAGUCAUGUUGGCUGUUCUCUUGACCAUUUUGAUGUUUAAUCAAGGGCUUUCAUUGGACAAUCGUGGGACGAGUUUCAUCACUGCAUUCCCCGAGAACAUUGCUGUUUAUUAUCGAAAGACCUAUAACCUAUUCAAAAUCACUACCCUUCACCAAAACACUAUGAUCAAUGUUGCCUAUAUGGCCAACGGCAAUGUCACCACCAACACAAGCCUCGCCGAAGGAAUAAUUUGGACUUUGAAUUUGACAAAGCAGGUUGAAGAAUCCCAGUUUAUGUCUUCCAAUAAGACGUUUCGAAUCACCAGUGAUAAAAACAUCACAGUGGUUUCUGUGAGUGGAUGGAAGGGGAGAUUCCAGUCUCACGUUGUCCAGCCUGAACAAAAUCUGGGAAAGGUGUAUCAGGUUCCCUCUCUGAAUUACACCAAGAUAGCCACGUCCUUUAACCUCACGGUGACAUCAAAUGUCAGAUUCCUGCCUUUUAGGCUGAUGAUCAUCAAUGCAGUGGACAUGGACAAGAGUGUCACCAUCAAAGGGGUAGAUGAAAGAGGUCAGAGCCAAGAAGAUACAAUAAUGCUCGAUCCUUACAAUCUUUACCAGAUUCAGAUUAAUGGGUCGGUGAGACAAAUCAACGCAGAGGACAAAGUGGCUGUGAUUCUGACCCAUCCGUGCUUUGACAGCAAAAACUGCUCAUGCAACAUGAUUCUGAACCAGCUCCAACCCUAUGUGUCAAACAACAAUAAAGACAGAUUCCUCGUGCCCCCCAUCUUCAGUGCCAGACAGCUACUUGUGACAACAAAUCAACCCUUCCAAGUCUGUCAAGGUUGUUUUUCUCCUUAUACUGGUGUUUGGGUGCAAAAUUCUUCAGACAUCCUGCCAUUAUUACCCAAUUUUAAGAACAUCAUCUCAACUAUUUCUACCACCGUCCAGGUUUCCCUCCGAUUAAUCAGUCCUGGACUUGUUCUAGACCUCAUUCCGAUAAGCAAGUUCUCUGGCUGUUAUCUGGUGGAUUUUAAUUCCUCACACAGUGGUGCCUUGGUAAUUGCUAAUACAUCCAGUGCUGAUGCUGUGCGAAUGAAUGAUCAGCCUUUGCCUCCACACAAAUAG
rnacentral:lncRNA from 1 species